AGUGAACGCUGGCGGUAGGCCUAACACAUGCAAGUCGAACGGCAGCACAGGAGAGCUUGCUCUCUGGGUGGCGAGUGGCGGACGGGUGAGGAAUACAUCGGAAUCUACUCUGUCGUGGGGGAUAACGUAGGGAAACUUACGCUAAUACCGCAUACGACCUACGGGUGAAAGCAGGGGACCUUCGGGCCUCGCGCGAUUGAAUGAGCCGAUGUCGGAUUAGCUAGUUGGCGGGGGAAAGGCCCACCAAGGCGACGAUCCGUAGCUGGUCUGGGAGGAUGAGCAGCCACACUGGAAAUGAGACACGGUCCAGACUCCUACGGGAGGCAGCAGUGGGGAAUAUUGGACAAUGGGCGCAAGCCUGAUCCAGCCAUACCGCGUGGGUGAAGAAGGCCUUCGGGUUGUAAAGCCCUUUUGUUGGGAAAGAAAUCCAGCUGGCUAAUACCCGGUUGGGAUGACGGUACCCAAAGAAUAAGCACCGGCUAACUUCGUGCCAGCCGCCGCAGUAA
rnacentral:rRNA from 1 species